AGCGAACAUUGGCGGUAGGCUUAACACAUGCAAGUCGAGCGAUGCGUAAUAGUCGAGCGGCGAACGGGUGAGUAACACGUGGGAAUCUACCUCGAAGUGGGGGAUAACGUCCAGAAAUGGACGCUAAUACCGCAUAAUCCAUAUUGGGAAAGCGCGCUGCGCUUUGAGAUGAGCCCAUGGCUGAUUAGCUAGUUGGUGAGGUAACGGCUUACCAAGGCGACGAUCAGUAGCUGGUCUGAGAGGAUGAUCAGCCACACUGGAACUGAGACACGGUCCAGACUCCUACGGGAGGCAGCAGUGGGGAAUCUUGCGCAAUGGGGGCAACCCUGACGCAGCCAUACCGCGUGUGUGAUGAAGGUCUUCGGAUUGUAAAGCACUUUCAGUAGGGACGACGAUGACGGUACCUACAGAAGAAGUCACGGCUAACUUCGUGCCAGCAGCCGCCGUAA
rnacentral:rRNA from 1 species